rnacentral:rRNA from 1 species
CUAGGUUUGACAUGUACUGGAAGACUACCAGAAAUGGUGUCGCCUUCGGGCCGGUACACAGGUGCUGCAUGGCUGUCGUCAGCUCGUGUCGUGAGAUGUUGGGUUAAGUCCCGCAACGAGCGCAACCCUUGCCAUUAGUUGCCAGCAUUUAGUUGGGCACUCUAAUGGGACUGCCGACGUUAAGUCGGAGGAAGGUGGGGAUGACGUCAAGUCCUCAUGGCCUUUAUAUCUAGGGCUACACACGUGCUACAAUGGACGGUACAGUGGGCAGCAAAGUCGCAAGGCGAAGCAAAUCCCAAAAAACCGUUCUAAGUUCGGAUUGGAGUCUGCAACUCGACUCCAUGAAGCUGGAAUCGCUAGUAAUCGUGAAUCAGCACGCCACGGUGAAUACGUUCCC